GCUUACAGAGGGUAAAAGGGAAACAGGUGCGAGGCCUGUGCGAUCCCGUCACUGUAUGCGGAAUGACAUUGCCACGCGGAAACGCAGUCACUGAGCGAUCGGGAAGGCGGCAAUGCCGGAAGCCGCAAGCCAGGAAACCUGCCGUCUGUAUU
rnacentral:ncRNA from 1 species